rnacentral:lncRNA from 1 species
CCUACUCUGAUGAUUCAUUGUACUGUGGCAUUGCCAUUAGAAAUAAAAACACUGGGGAGAAAAACAAUAUGGAUUGUAAAUUUAAUGUGUUUGUUCAUAAGCUUAUGUGCUUUCACGUUGCAUUUGGGACAAGAAAGGGAAGCUUAUAUGUAACUUCAUAUGAGUCAUUAAUGAAAUAUGAUCUUCUGAGACACAUCAAUGAAUCGGAAAAGAAGAUAUCAAAAUUGAAAAAAAUAAAGGGAAUUUAAUUAGAUGAGAAGUCAUUUGACAAGGUGAAUUUCAAUAGUUAAGGACCAAACUUAAACUUUCCCUUCCUACAUCUAUGAUAGUUAUUAAUUCACAGAAUAUAUACAUAUACAUGUAUCCUCACACUCCUCUCUUUUUUGGGGGGUCCAGUCUUUUUUUCUUUAUUGCUUUUUUUUUCUGUUUAUUCAUGUGUAUUAACUUUUUAAAUACACAUUUCUUUGUGAAUCAUGUUGGGAGAGAAAAAUCAGAACAAAAGGGAAAAACCACAAGGAAAAAAACAGAAAAAAAAGAAGCGAAGAUAGCAUGUAUUGAUUUACAUUCAAUCUCCAUAGUUCUCUUUUUGGAUGCAGAUGAAUCCAGUAUUUCUUGAAACAAGCUAUAUGUGCUUCAGACACAACUCUUCGUCCAGCCUGGCCCCUUCCCUCUUUUAUAAUCUUCUAUGCCCAUACUCCACCUGGUUAAUUAGCAUCUGUUAUAUAUGACAGCAAAUGAAGGAGAUCAAUCAGCCAGGUAUGAGCAAGAACUCACCCUUCCCUCUUCUGCUUUGUUUUGUUGUUUCUCUGGCAAUUUGAAUUUUCUUUGACUCUUCUCAUUGGCUGACCAUCCUAAUCUAUGAAAAUACUUUUGUAUAGAGAAUUGACCUGUGUUGAUCCCCACCUAGUUUUAGAAGGGUGGGAAGAGCUGGUGUGCUUCCCUGAUGGAGACAAGAUCUUAGCUAUCUUAUGUAGAAGCAAAGCUAAGUAUACAAAGGACAACAUAUAUCCUCUUCACUCACAUCCUUGAACUUCUUUUCUUAUCCUGCUGUGGCCUAAAUACUGUUAUUACAAAUAUGGUUGUAUCCCUCCUGAGUUGCUUCUGUCCUCCCCUUAUUUGUUCCCAUUGCUAGGUGUUCCCUUAGACCUUAAAUCUUCCCUUGGGGAAGCUGAAAAUGUAUCAAAUUAAAGAUCUCUUGCUUUUAGCAGUAUCAUUGGCUGGUGAGUCUCUCCCCUGUGAAAAACCCCAAAACCAUUAUAGUGGAUUGGAAUAGUGUCAUAUCCUUUUUUUUAUUUACUCCCUCUUUUUCCUUCCUUGCUUCCAGUUCCAUAAGCUCUGUUCUUUGGAUUUGUAUUUUUGUCCUCUAAAUAAACAAACUCAUUUCUUUGAAAUGUGAUAUUUGUAAACCAUUAAUGCAAUUUUUUUUCUUUUUUACUAAAUGUACUGAAGAUAAUCUCUUCAUUAAGGUAUUUUCAUUAAGGUUUUCAAAAUUCCUUAAUGAAUUAUUUUGUAAAUUUUAUUCAUUUGACUAAUGGUAUUACUUAGAUUCAGAGAUUGUUAGAAUUAUAACUUAAGAGAUCAUCUAGGCUGGCCUUCCAUUUUUGUUAUUGUUCAAUUAUUUCAAUCAUGUCUGACUCUUUGUGACUCCAUUUUAGGGGAUAAAGAUACUCAUGUCGUUUGCCAUUUCCUGCUCCAGCUCAUUUUACAGAUGAGAAACUGAGACAAGUAGGACUAAAUGACUUUUCCAGGUCACAGUUAAUAAGUAGGCUGGAUUUGAACUCAGGUCUUCUUUACUUUAGGUCAGGCCCUUUAUUUAUUCACUGUGUUACCCACCUUGCUGCUCCAGGAAGCCAAAAGAGAUUUAAUGACUUCCUUAAAGAAAGAAUUCCUCUCUCUUGGUCUGGUGUUCUUUCCACUAUUCCAUUUCUUUCUUUUUGUUUUUAAUCACUCAUCAGGUAUUCUGGAGUUUCUUUGUAUGAUUAUAGUCUCCAUUUCCAGGACAACUGGAAACUGAAAAACUGCAUAUACCAUCAGUUUGCCUCAUACACAAAACAUGAUCCAGUGUCAAGAAUUUAGUCCUAAUAACUGGAUUCUGAGGAAAAAGCCCAACUUGGGCUAUCAUGCAGUUGAUUAAUUCAAAUUAUUUUAAGCCAGUACACCUUCUGAUCCUCUCCUUGUUUAGGAUAUAAGAACCAACCCCCUUUACCUCUAUUGCAUUUCAACUCUGCUGAGUUCAAUUAUUAAAUAGGCCACAAGAGCUAACAAUUUCAAAAGUUGUUUUCAGCAGUUCAACAUAAUGGAUAAUUAAAGGAUACAUUAGGGAAGGGGGAAUCGUGCAUACAUAUAUAGCAAUCAUCACUGUAAUUGAAUAAAAUUGUUAGGAGUCAAACAUGUGCACUAACAUUUCUAGGAGGUCAAUUAGACCAAAUGUAAGUUUAUUACCGUGUGCUUUUGAAAGGAAUUCCAUAAUGAAAAGAAAAAAGGCAAAUACUUUACUUUCUAUGUAAAUAAUAAAUUAUUUGCAUAUCCCAGAUGAUUUCUUUUCCCUUUAUCCAUUCCCUCCUUGCUACUGCAUUUCAAGAAAUAUUUAUUGUUGGAUCCACUGUGUCUAGCAGCAUGCUAAAUCCUGUGGGAUGGUAUGCAUCUUCUUUAGGGACUCAGAAAUAUAUUCAAUUCAACAAACAUUUAUUAAAGAUUAUUAGUACUAGAUGCAGUGAUAGGCUAUGGAUACAAAGAUGAAAAUUAAAACAAAAUAAUCUCUGCCCUCAAGGAGCUUACAUCCUUCAGGAAAACAUCCAUUUAUAGCAAAGGGUAAAAGGCAAAGUUGAGAAAAUUCUGCCUCUGAAAGAAUAUACCCUUUUAUGAGCCACCAUUUUGGCAAUUUCUUUGGUAUCCAUGAAUGAACAGGGCAUUAAAGUAAGAGUAACAGUUUUGUCCAUCUUCAGCAGAUGACUCGAUGCUUGACAUGCUCUUCCCUGAAGAGAUGGAGUACCCAACUAUAGCUAUUUAGUGUGAUAAUGGCGUUUGAUAGACUGGACACAAACACCAUUGUCACACUCCAUAGCUCUGGCAAGGAUAACACACAGCCCAAAGAAUAUUAGUUGCACUUCCACAUGGCAGCACUGCCAUGAACCCACCAAAAAGGAAGUCUCCAGAUCUCUAUGCAUUACCUGAAAGGGAAAGAGGAGAUAGGACACCAUGACAAACUUUAUAGGAAAUGGAGAGACAAGCUGAAGGAAGUCAUAACAAAAGGUAGAAGAUUCUCCUUGCCCUGUCCAAACUGAAACUGCCUUAUGAGAGUAGUUAUUUGGUCUACACUGACACUAGCAAAUCUGCCCUUUGUUCUGCUUUCAUAGGAUCACAAAAUCAUCUAUCUAGAACCGGAAAAGACCUCAGAGGCCAUUCAUUCCAGCAUCCUCAUUUUAGAAAGGAAGAAACUAAGGAUCAAGGAGUGACAUCAUAUACAAGAUCACACAAAUAAUAAGAAACAGGAAGAAUUCAAACCCAUGUUCUCUGAUUCCAGAGUUAGUGUUUUCCAUGUUACAUAUUCUUUGUCCUACAAUUAAGCACUCCUUAAAGUAAGUGGAGAUUUCUUAAGGAAAUCAAAUAUGUGAUGAGCCCACUAGAAUAUUUGUUUUCACUUAUUUUUUUUAGGCUGAGAAAAUAAAACAUCUACAGUGGAUACACUACUGUAUGUGUGAAACCAGAAUUUGACAAACAAAAAUAUUUUGUGGGAAUGCAUAUAAUAAGCAAGCAUAAAGUUAUGAAAAGGCUCUCUUUCCCUCCAUCUCCCCCUUCCUUAAUAAUUCCUAGCAUAUUAUUAAUGCCUGCUUUAAGUCUGUGACAAUUUUGGUAAGUGGUAUUUUCUUCCCAAGAAAGAAAACUCACUUCUUUUAAGGAAUAGAAUUUUGACAUCAGUAGCAUGGCCUUGGUUACCUAACAACCAAGCUCAGUUUGGAUUUUAAAUCUCAGUCCAUUAUGGUAGUGGAAAGGAAAAGGAGUAAAAUUGAAGAGACAGGAGGUAAGCUUAGUGAAAAGGACCUAUUCAUUUUGGAGGCAAUAGCAUUCAGAUCUUAGCCAAAAGGAGACCUAUCUGUGAAGCAAUCCUGCUCUAGAUUUGCACAGGUUUCCAGUUUGAAUUAUUUUUUUGAUAGUACUAAACUCCUUGCCACAGUAGAAAAGACAAGAAGCUAAGUAUUUUACUUCACUGAUUUUCUUUUUUACUAUGCAGUAAAAAGAGGAAAGUUGGGGCUAGGUUCAUGUUUCUCAGAAUUGCCUCUUUUUCUAAAUACAACCAGAAAUACUUUCUAAAUUUAAUGUUGUCAUAUCCUUGAGCACCUAAAAUCAAUUUUCUUUGUAUUUCCUAAAGACAAUCUGGUUUCCUGUCUCCCAGUAAAUGAAAUCAGCAGGCUUGACAAAGACAACAGGGCUUCAGGUUUUGUGAGGAUUGAUAUAUUUUUAAAAGUCAUUUUUAUCAUACUCAGAUUGAGGGAGUUGGCUCCAGCUAUUUGCUUAUCUUCUUGGUUUGUUUAUCCUUUUAAUAGGAUGACUCAUUUCCCUUUAGAAUGUGACUUUGGUCCAUUAGCCAAACAGGCCACUGAUUGCUUCGGUAGUAUGAUUUGAGGGAUAUUAGAAAAGCCCUUCCCAGCCUCUUUCUUACCCUCAAAUGUGUCUCCACAGGCUAGACAUUAGUAACUGAAAUUGUUCUGUUACUAGAAAUUCUUUUUAGUCCCUUACAAAGCUCCAAAUAUUCCUGGGAAGGAUCAAAUGUCCAGGUUAUAAUCAAUCAUCAACAGUCUAGCAUGAAUUAGUUGAGGAAAUCCUCUCCAGUAAGCCGAGUGGUUUUCUAUUAACGAGCUUUUAACUACAGAAAGUCAAGACAUCAAAAUGGCUAUUGAGCCCCAGCUUCAGUAAACUAAAAUAUAGCACUGUAUUCACUAUUUCUUAUUCUUAUCCUCAGAAAUUUCUGGACCCUUAUUCGUAGCAUCCAAUUCUGAGCUUCCUUAAAACUUGCCCAGACUCAUCCAAAGGAUCUGAUAAAAGGCCUCAUUUCUAAAAUAUAUAGAAAACUGACUCAAAUUUAUAAUAGUUUAAGUCAUUCUCCAAUUGAUAAAUGGUCAAGAGAGAUGAAGACAGUUUUCAGAUGAAGAAAUUGAAAGUAUUUGUAGCCACAUGAAAAGGUGCUCCAAAUCCCUAUUGAUCAGAGAAAUGCAAAUUAAGACAACUCUGAAAUAUCAUUACACACCUGUCAGAUUGGCUAAGAUGACAGGAAAAGAUAAUGAUGAAUGUUGGAGGGGAUGUGGGAAAACUGGGACACUGAUACAUUGCUGGUGGAAUUAUAAAUACAUCCGGCCAUUCUGGAGAGCAGUUUAGAACUAUGCUCAAAAAGUUAUCAACUGUGCAUACCCUUUGAUCCAUCAGUGUUUCUACUGGGCUUAUAUCUCAAAGAGAUCUUAAAGAAAGGAAAGGGACCCACAUGUCUAAAAAUGUUUGUGGCAGCCCUGUUUAUAGUGGCAAGAAACUGGAAACUGAGUGGAUGCCCAUCAAUUGGAGAAUGUCUGAAUAAAUUAUGGUAUAUAAAUGUUAUGGGAUAUUAUUGUUCUGUAAGAAAUGACCAGCAGGAUGAUUUAAGAGGCCUGGAGAGACUUACAUGAACUGAUGUUAAAUGAAAUGAGCAGAGCCAGGAGAUCAUUAUACACGGCAACAACAAGACUAUAUGAUGGUCAAUUCUGAUGGACAUGGCUCUCUUCAACAAUGAGAUGAUUCAAACCAGUUCCACUUGUGCAGUGAAGAAGAGAGUCAUCUACUCCCAGAGAGAGGACUGUGGGAACUGAGUAUGGAUUAUAACAUAGCAUUCUUGCAUUGUGUUUUCUUUCUCAGCUUUUCUUUUUCCUUCUUUCUUGAUCUAUUUCUUAUGAAACAAGAUAACUGUAUAAAUAUGUAUGCAUAUAUUGGAUCUAACAUGUAUUUCAACAUAUUUAUCAUGUAUUAGACUACCUGCCAACUAGGGGAGGGAGUGGGGAUAAGGAGGGGGAAAUCUGGAACAAAAGGUUUUGCAAGAGUCAAUGUUGGAAAAAUUACCCAUGCAUAUACUCUGUAAAUAAAAAGCUUUUGUCAAAUAGAUAGAUAGAUAGAUAAAUGAAUAAAUAAAUAAACAGAAACUUGCCCAGACUGAGUUCUACCUUUUCUAUUGCCAUAGCAACAUCUCAGAACUCACAUGCAUGGAUGUGAGCAAGCUAUGAUGACUUAUAUAACUUUCAUCUAGUUCAGUUGCAUUCAAUACAUUUAACAAACACAUAAUACUAAUGCUUAAUCUGUUAUGACUCAGAUUUUAUGUGUGUUUUAUAUCUUUUUCAUGUAUUUGAUUUCUUUCUUUCAUUUGCCCAAAGGUGCCUGGGGACCUAGAACAAAGCUCCUCACACAUUUUAGUAUAUGAAAUGAAAGUGUUUUGAAGACAGGGAUGGGAUUUUUCUCUUUGAAUCUCUUGGGAGCAGCAAAACAUCUUGGCAUAAAGGAGAUGGUUAACAAGAAUUAGCUGGUUUUGAAAGACACUACUCUAUUAACUACAAUCUCUUAGUUGUAGUCCUUCUCUUACUAUUUCUCAGAACUUAUAGUAAAGAUAGCUGAAUCUAGGAAGAGUGGAGAAGAAGCUAAAAGGGAGUGAACUGCUUGUUAGAUUGGAGUGUUAAUGGUUGUUUGAAGAUGAAUGUACUGUGUGAAUAUUUUUGGCUACCUUUCAUAGUCCUCGGCCAUAGUGGAGGUAUAAACUUCUCUCUACUGUCCCCGCUGGGUGGCUCAUCACUUCUUAAGAAUUCUACAAAGGAAGAAAAAGAAGAAGAGAUGAGAAUUGAGGGAGAAACAGACAGAGAAAGACAGAAAGAGUGCAUUUAGUAAGUGUUAUGCCAAGCAUUGUACUAAGUAUUGCAAUUACAAAUACAAGCAAAUACAAGAAAGAAUUUGCAAUCUAAUAAGGGAAACUGGACUAAGAACUAAGAAAAGUCAAAGUUAAAAUGAGGUUUAUACUAUCUUUUCUUCUUUAAUCCCUACUAUUCUUCCAAUUUUCUAUUUCUUCAUAAACCCCAAAAUGAAGCAAUUCUCAGCAUUGCUGUCCACCCUGAACCUCCUACUGGACAUUUUCCCUCCACCCUCAAAGCAAAGAUCCAGAAGGUUCUAAUCAGAAAAUAGACAAAGGUUAUUCUUUCAUCAAUAAGCAUGAAAAGGUGACAUCUUGGAGAAGAUGUUAUCUUCAGGGUAACUUCUCCAGAGUUCUUCAGAUGGAUCAUGGAAGAUUUCUGAUUGCUCUGAUUUCUGAUCAACUCAUAAAGAUUUACAAAAUGUCAGCUAUGAACUCAGCACUUUAUAUUUAGCCAUUUAAAAAUUUUUGCGACAAUAUCAAAUGAUUACCUUUUAUUAUUAUUAAUAUUUUUGGCAUUAAUAACAGAGGUAAUAGCUGCUAUUGUUGUAGUGCUUUAAGGUUCGAAAAACACUUUUCAUGUUAUUUUUUAUGAUCCUUGCAAUGCUUUGGGGGUGGGGUGGGAUGGUACUAUAGGCAUUAAAGCAAGCAGGAUAGUGAAAGAAAUACUGGAUUUAGAGGAAAGAACUGUAUCAGACUCCACCCCUAUGACAUAAGAUUAAACUAUAUGACCAUGAGAAAGUCACUUUGUUGCUUAUUUCACUUUUUUCAUCUGUAAAAUGUGAAUAAAAAUAGUUCAAGUACUUACUUCACAGGGCUGUUAAGAAGAUCAAGUGAGAAUACAAAAUAUAAACUCCUAUAAUGUAAGUUCUCUGAGAGCUGGAACUAUUUUUGCUUUUUCUUUGCACUCCCAGGGCCUUAAGGUAGUGUUAAAGUGUUUAUUGAAUGCUCUUAUUCCUCUGUGUGUGUGUGUGUGUGUGUGUGUAUAGACAGAAACAGAGACAGAAAGUAAACAAGAGAAAGCAUUAAACUCCAAUCAGUUUCUAAUCCAGUUCAUUGAAAGGAUUUAGUCAUUCAUUUGACUGAUAAAGUGAUGAUACUCAUCUUUUUUUUCCCCCUCCAGCAUAAUCUUGUUAUGUCUGAAGAUUCAGAGUUUGAAAUUACAGCAGGUUCUUUUGGUAGACUUCUCAGAUACACACAUACAUACACACACACACUCAUACACGCACACAUACAUACACAUAUCUUAUACAAAUAUACAUACACACAUUUUCAGAAAUAUACAUGUAUAUAAAACUACUGAAAAGUAUGCUAUUUUAAAUUUCAUUAGUUAUAUCAUUAUUUCUAGUGUACAGUAAAGUGAAGGUUUUCAGCUUACAAAGUAGAUAAUGAAAUAGUUUGGUUUUGUUUUUUAAAUUUGAUUUAUUAAUUUGACAUAAUUAGGAAACUCCUCUACCAAAGUUAUUCUGUUGCUAGCUGGAGAUGACACUGGGCUCUUGAAUGCUGUGUCCCGAAUAUCAACUUUAGCAAGGUCUCCUAUGUUGGAAACACUGAAUACUGGCCCACUGAAAGACUAUGUUAUGCAUUAACAGAAAAUCAACAUAGAUAGGGACAGAAAGUCCAGAUCAGAAGGCUGGCUAUCAAGUAAUAAAUCUGUUAAAGCUCAUCUACUAUGAGGUGAGGAGGAACUGUGAUCAGAGUGAAUGGAAGGAAUCCUGAGGGAGAUCAUGGCUCCUUGAACGGAACUAAAAUAUGCCACAAAGAAAAUUACCACCUUGAUGUAUUCUCCUUCAAAAUUCAUUGAAACUUUUUUUAUUCUCACUAUAUGGAAAAUCAACAUACCAACUUAAAAUGGUUAUCCCUGGACAGGCAGGAUGGUAUAAAAGUGAAGAACACUAAAUAAGAAAUCAAGAGAAAUGAAUUCAAAUGCUGGAUCUAUGCCUAUGUGAGUUUGAGUAGCUUAACCUCUUUGGGCCUCAAUUUCUUAUAAUGAAAUGGUUGUCCUAGAUCAGUGGUCCUCAAACUUUUGUUCUCAAUAUCUUUAUCCUAUUAAAAAUGAUUGAGGAUCUGUCCAAAGAGUUUUUGUUUAUGUGGGUUAUAAUUAUAGAUAUUGAUCACAUUAAAAAUAAAAACCAAUUAUGAAUUUGUAGACUCUCUGAAAGGAUUUCAGAGAUUCCUCAGGAUGCUCUGGACCAGAAUUUGAGAACCACUGUCCUAGAUGAUCUAUAAGGCUCCCUCUAACUCAAAAAAACUAUGAUACAAUCUAUGAUUUCUGAGGAAGUUUUGAUUUUGUGGGAGUAUAUCAUUCUCCACCAUAUAGUCUACAACCCAUUUGUGACUUAGCAGAUAAAUAUAUUCCUAUAAUAAAACCAAUGAAUGCUAACCAGCGUUUCUAUAGGACUUUCCUCAUGAUAACCCUGCAGGCAGGUAGUUAUUAUUAACCCAGGUCUCUUGACUUUAGGUUCUGCAUUCUUUCCACCAGAUCUAAGCUCAUGAGAUCUCUUGCUAACUGUUCUUUAAAUCAAUCACCAAUGUAAGAGCUAACAGGAGUUCUCAAUAAAUUAUCAUUUGAGUGGCUGACACUUGAAAGGGAAAGGCUGUUUGCCUAGUGAUUCUUGUGAGCCAAUUUCAUUUCUGUGCUGAUGCUUAAUUAUUCUUAAGUACUAUCUGCAGAAUAAUUAAAGGUGAGAGAGGAAGAGAAGAAGAAUGUCUGUGGAGGUUGGUAUUUUAUAAAAUCAAAAGAUAAACCCAAAAGAUAUAGUAUCAAGGGAACCUUAGGUACUGGACUUACCCUUUCUUUUAUGGGAGCAUGUUUAUUGUUUAUUAAUUCUUUUAUUAUUUUGCCUGUUUCUUUCUAGGCUGGGUUUUUGUUAAAUCUGGGCUAGCGAAACAUUAAUUGACCCUAGUUCUUAUACUCCAAACAACUGGCUCUGGCUGCCUUCUUCAUUUCUUUUACCUUCCUAGAGAAGGCAACGCCAACCCUUUAGAUGGCAGAUGCCUGCUUUCUCCUCAAGGCCUCAAAGUUUAGUCAUUUUAGCAGAAAGACAAACACAUUUUCCUAGAAUCCCAGAUGCUACCCAGGUUUUGUCUUCUGAAAUGUUAACCACCUCUCCCUGUCCAAAGUGUUUGGUGUCAGUGCCUGCUCCCAAAGCAAAAUCUACUUUACCUCAAGGGACAGAAAGUGAUAUAAGGAGACACUUACCACCUCCAAGAGUGGCUGCAUGGUGGGGAGCUUCUCCUCUGCAGGGUCUGUCCCAGAUUCUGAUCUGAACAGUGACUGGGCCUUGGCGUUCCACACAUCUCUUAGAGCUAGAUGCAUCCCUCUAAAGAGCUUUCUCCUGCUUUGCCUUUCAGCAGCCCAGAGGCAGAAACAAGGCCCUCUGCAGCUUCUGUUCCCAGUGUGCCUUUCCCUCUCUCCCUUUAUGGGAUCCAGGGAUUUAAAGUAAACAAUUCUUUCUCUUUCUGAUAAGUCACAUUAAAUUAUUGAUUUGGGGGAGGGGGAGGUCGACCUCAGUCCACUAAGUUAGUCACCUUUGGCCAAACAGACCAAGCACAUACUGGAAAUCCUGGGUUAGUUCCCCCCACCCCACCCCCCAGCUUGUGGGAGGACACAAACUUGAUAUGUAAUAAGGGUUGUAGAACCUGAGAGUGGAAAAAGUUGGGUUUGAGAAGAACAUAGGCAAUAAUAUCUGGUGGGUAACUCAAGAGUUUUCUCUGAAAGCUGGGCAAGCCUGUUUAACUCUCUUCACACCAACCAUCAGCUAGCAGGUUACCACUGUUCUCUUUCCCCCUAUCUCAAUGCAUUUUAAAAUUAAGGCUCCUUUAGGGAGCUCUUUAGGGAACUCUUUUGUCUAACAUAAAGGGAAUUUGUAAAGACGUAGUCUUGGCUGGAAAGGGGAAAUCGGUCACUAUGUCUCUUCAGAUUUCCAAAAAAAAAAAAAAUCAAACGAACAAAAAAUGAAUUGAGUAUAUUAGUCUGUUAAUUUAUUUUUUCUUGGUUCUGUCUAGUUUGAACUAAGCAAUACUUUGGAUAAAAUCCUGGCCUUUUCAAGUGAUCAUUUCUUCUACUAUUAUAAAUCAAAUUACAGUCACUAAGCUCUCAAUCGUUAUUUUGAGGGAGCUGGAGGGAAGAAGGUGGUCCAGACCUUGAUCCAUCUAGAGAACUCCUGGUGUGAAAACUGCCCACCAAUUUAGAUCAACGACUAAUUUGUAAUUUAAGAAUCUCAGGAAACUGGGAUGGGAGGGUCAGGGGAAGGGAUGGCAGUGGGAAGGGAUAGCAGUAAAAGGUUAAAAUUCCUGCACUGGGUCACCUAUAUCAGAAGAACUGAACUUCUUGGACUCCAAUGCUCUCUCUCAUUUACUACAGUUUAUUACUUAUAUUAUUAUUAUAAAUAAUUAAUUUAUUACGAUUUUUUAAUCUUCAUGGGAUUUGAGGGGUAUUUUUCCCUUUCUGUGAUGAGUAAGUCAGUUUGGCAAUAAGUGUAUCUCAUAAUAGAAAAAAAAAAUUCUAAAUGUCUCCACUACCAUUUGUGGACUCUUAAAGUUGUGUUAUCAUGACUCUAAAAGCCCACUGUGAACAAAUAAUUUUAGGAGACAGACCAUUGAAAUAUGAAUAACAGUGGUUAUCUUUCUCUUUUGCUCAUAAUUACUACAAUGACACUACUGAGUACAAAGGAUAAGGGGGGAAAAGGGUUCUUUUUGGCUUUGUUUUGUUUUUAUAAAUGGCUUUGCAGCAGAGAGGCAUGUUUUGCUACUGUUUUUUGUUUGUUUGUUUCCUACUCAGGGAGAACUUUUAAAAUAGAUUCUAACUAAAGUACAGGAAGUUUCUAUAGAGAAGACAGGAAGGGGGAUACUAGUUCCUGAACAACGAUUUCUCUUCAGUUUCCCAAUGACAAUUUGGUUUAUCUCCUUAUAUGAAGAAAAAGUGGACUGUCCAAAAUCACCCAGGCUGUCCAUGAAAGAACUAUGUGACUGGAUAUGGUAAUUUAAGGGCAAAACAUUUGUGCUAUAAAAAUCUAAUCUGUCAUCUUGAGAGGAACCAAAUAAAACAUUUUUCCAGAAAGUUUUCCGUAUCCUGCUCCCAAAUGAAACUUCCAAACUCAUGUGUAUUUUGUCACAGGGAGACAAAGCUCAACUUCAAAAAAGGAAUUUUGUUGGCAUUGUCUUGCACGGUAUAUGGUAAAUUGAUUUGUAUUUAUUUUUUAAUUUGUUUCACCACCUGGUUUGGUUACGGUAAUCAUAUUUCUUUACUGAAUGAUUAUGAGUUAAAAUCCUUUAGGGAAAGUGGAAAGCUUUGCCAAGUGAGUUUUCCAGACAUAUAUUCUUACAAGAGACAAGCAGAUCCCUCCCACCUUCAGUUCUCAGCAGGAUGCACAUCUGGAACACUUUUCCUCAACAUUUCUCACUAGGCGAAACCUGAAGCUUGUUCCACAAAUCCCCACUUUCUCUUCAGUUCUAAAACCAUAACUAGCGGAAAUGUUAAUUUCUUUAAAAUUCCCAUUGGUACUGCCUCUCAGUCACUUGGAUAUGUUAGAAGUAGGAUGAUCCUUAUAUUUUGGCUCCCUUCUGUCCCACUGCCUUUAAGACAGCUACUGUGAUAAAGUAUUGUUACACUUAUGAUGCUCAUUAGGAGGCUACGGGUGGUAAGAGUUGAUACAUACUCAUGGUUUUUUAGAGUAAAGUGUGAAGGUAAGUACUGGGAUUUUUAACAUUGUAGGAAGUUUAGGUUUUAGAUGUAGUCAUUUCAGGGAGCAUUGGAAAUUUUCACUGAGAGGUGGUGAGCAAGGAGCCAACUCCUGUUUCACAAGCUGGGGGUGGGGAUGGGGUAGGGUACAGAUAAAUGGCACAAUGGACUAGCACUGGCCCUGGAGUUGAGGAACUGAAUUCAAAACCUCAGAUAUUUAACCCUUUAGUUGUGUGCCUUCAAUUGCCUCCCAAAGAACAACUUCAAGAGAUCAUUUUGACCAUCUGAAGUCAAAGUCUUACUGGACUAUCUGGAAGUCAUCCCAAAUUCAGAAAGAAAUCCAGAAUUAUGUGUAACAAAUGCUGCAAAAAUAACGUUUUGGUCAUGUAUACUUAUUGUGUAUCUAAUUUAUAUUUUAAUGUACUUACCAUCUACUGGUCAUCCUGCCAUCUGGGGGAGGGGGGCUCUUAUGGGUCUUACAGAGCGUGGUAGGGCACGACUGGCUGGGGGUCUGCAUAUAUCCUGUAAAUAAAAGGCUAUUAAAUUAAAAAAAAAAAAAAAAAAAAAAAAACAAAUGCUGCAAAAAAAAAAAAAAAAUGUAAAUUUCCACUCACCAUGAGGAGCAGACACCCAGAAUCCUCUCUUCUCCUGGAGUUGGAGUAUGGAAGGGUUUCCAUCCUUCUCCCAUAUUACCACUGAAAAGCUACAUAGACGCUUUUGGAAAUAACGUAGGAGUAGGAAUUCAUUACCCUUAAGAUCAUUAAGUUUAAGAAGCGGGGUAACUCUUUAUCAUGGAGAAGGGUUUUGAAAAUGUUGAUGCUCAUGAUUGAGAAUUCCAGAAAUGUGGUUUGGAGAAGAUACUGUUGCCCUUGUUGGUUUAAACGGUAAUGGCUAACCCUUUCACAGCCUUUAAGGGUUCCAUUCUUACUUGUUCCUUACAACGCCGCGAUGAUGGAGGUAGGAAAAACUGGCCCCAUCAGAGACUGGCGCAAUGCUAUCGCUUCAGGCUAAGAUCACGUGUCCCCAAUCUCAUCAACGCAUGCGCAAAUGACUCCUCAACGUUGACUGACUAGGCCCAAAUCCUUGGCUAAAAAAACCUCCCCUUUAACUGGAAGACCCUGUGAGGCGGCUGUCCUCACACAGUACUGUAGAUGACUCAGCAAAACUGAUGACAUAUAAGAAACCCACGUCACUGGGUACCAAAACCUCAUCCCGGUCAUUGCUGCUUCAGUUGAAAAAGCCACGUGUCCUCAGUGAUGCCCGCGGCGCCUGCGCAGAUGACCCCCAGCCAGUCGUGCCCUACCACGCUCUGUAAGACCCAUAAGAGCCCCGCGAGGCCCUGAAACAGUCCCGAUAGACUCUAAGAAUUCCCCCACCACGCAGAGUGACUGCGUGGGCCUGCCAGGAAGGGCACUGAAGGUGCCAGUUGUCUGGUAUUGGGGGGUGGAGUGGCCACCAAACUUCCGCCCUCCCUCACCCUAAAUCCCCCUCGGAGCAAUGAAGCUCCAUGAGUCACAUCCCACCAAUGAUUCCCGGAAGUAGGGUAUGACGUCAGUGGCGGAAGCCCAUGAGCGGGAUUCUGGUCUCUCUGGGCAUGUGCGUCACGGGAAAGAAUUGUUCCCUUAGCAAAAGGCACGUGGUAUAAAAGUGGGUGGGGGAUGUCCUCGGGAAACCAGUGAGUUCAAGGCUUGGGUCCGAGUUUUUGCGUUUAGUCAUAGUCCUUAAUUCCAAGGCCUCAUUGCCUCGAUGCAUCGUUUCUGUUGUUGGUGCAAAGAGAUGUGGUCAAAGUUACCUGGAACAUGACCUUGCAAAGACUCCUAGACAAGCCCAGGAAAACCCCUGCCCUGAUCCUCCUAAGCCUCCCCCAGGCUUAGCCAAAGGUGCAGCGCCCCUCCCCCCACCUUGUUAGAGUGCGUUUUCUUUGCUUGGAAAGCAGCCCACCCCCUCACCCCUUUCCUAGCGGAGCAUCGGGAGUAUGGCCAGAACAAGCAGUGGCACAGCCCCAGGAGGCUGCAGGGUAUUCCCUUCUCUCACGAGCUUAGGAGCAGAAUUCCUCAGAACUGAUCACAGCUGAUGAAUGAACGGGGGAGCCAUCUUUGUGAGCUUCCUUGCUUACCCCAUGGCCUGGGGCAGUCUGCCCCACUCAGGGACACAGAUUCCUGGACAGUAUCUGGAACCGAGCACAGAGCAAGCCAGGGUUUUCUGCUUCAUAGAUCUUAUGGGAUAGGUAUCUUGCGGCAGCGGAAGGUACUACCCUACCAUUGACCAGGCCCUGACUACUGAGGGGAAAGAAGAGCAUGUGCAGUAUGUACAGAGUCUGUGGUUCCUGCUUGCCCUUUUGCUUUAGUAAGCAAAGAUUCGUCAUACAUCUUCCUAGUCCAGCACCAAUGGCCUCACCCUAUGGAGUCAUGAGGGGGUUGUCAGAUAAUGGAUGGUACGAGGUUGAGAGACCCAGGCCAUGUCUUUGUAGAAAUACUUAGUUUCCCUUGUCACCAUCUUUGUCGAUCAUGUCUCUCUUCCCAAUGGCAGAACUGACCCUUCUUCAUUCCACAAUUUCUAUGCAGACGGGCAUAGCCAGGUGGCCACGGCUAAUAAUGCACUUCUAGACCCAGGCCUAUGUUCUAUGACUAGAUUCCAUGCAACGAGGACUAGGUCCCCUUAAGGUAUGGCUAGAGCAGACAGGUUUUCUAUAAUCCAACAGAAGAUACUGUAGCAAUUUCAACAAAACACCUUAACCCCCAAAACUAGUGACUAUACUCUGCCUAUUCCAAUAGAAAAUCUGACAGGUGUGUGGAUAUUUGAUGUCAAUAUCUGUUUCCAGUACCCAGGAGAUGAGGAAUUGGUACAAGAUGAGGAGGGAGUGCCAGUACCAGAUACUGUGGCUACUAGCACAGCAUGUCCACCAUUGACUAUCAUAGAGGAGCGCUUGUGCUAAUUAUUGGGUUCCCCAGCCAUCAUGGGGCUCACUCAUCACUGAGCAUCUAACCACACUCCAUGGGGGAACAAAUGGAAGUAGUUGCACUAUGAUCUGGCCCCACAGAAUGAGUGGCCAAUGAAGAAAAAGACACCCUGGGAAUAAUCUCUAGCUAUGAUCUUUCUCUGUUUUAUAGUGAAGGCACACCCUUGGACAAGAGAAUGACCUUAUUCCUCUCCUGUGCCCAACAAAAGACUAUGACGUGGGCCAGGACCGCCUUGCUUCCACCUAAGUGAUAAAACAGAGGCACAGAGAGCUAAACUGACUUGACAAGAUCAACAAAACUAAGCAGAGGCUAAGAUUGAUCAAAAACAUUGGAAUGAAAAGAUAGAGGAAGAAAAAGUGAACCAUCAGUCUAUAUUUCAUUUUUUCUUUGAAUGUUCCCUAGCACAGCCUUACUGGACUUUGCAGGCAAUCUUAAGUGUGCUCCCAGCAGUUUCUUUUUUUUUCUUUUUCUCUUUUUAUUUUGAGACUUAAAACACCUAACAAAAUUGUCAUUUUAUAUGUAGAAUAAAACAAAAAAAGAGGACUGUACAAGAAA